AAAGUUACUCAAGCGCACACAAAGGAUGCCUUGACAUGCAAUACCGAAGAAGGACGUGAAGAGCUGCGAAAAGCUCCGGGGAACAGCUACAUAUGUUUUGAUCCGGAGAUAUCCGAAUGGGGAAACCCGGUUAGAGUAAUGUCUAAUCACACCUGUCUGAACACAUAGGGCAGGGAGCAGGUAACCGCCCGAACUGAAACAUCUAAGUAGGGCGAGGAAGAGAAAGUAAACAACGAUUGCGGUAGUAGUGGCGAGCGAAUCCGCAACAGCCCAAACCUAAUUAUGCUCCAGCUGUAUUUCACGAUGCUUAGUGCUCUAAGCAUAUACGAGAGAUAUGGGUCAAAGAGAAAGAAACUAUCGGUAGCGACGCUACUCCUAGUUCUUUGUCGCGACUCUCUCGUACGCGAGCAUCAUGAUAUACAGCCGGUACGGCUGCUAGGCUAAUGCAUAGUAGGGGUUGUGACACAGAAAUAUCCUUUUGUAGGACGACCGACUUCGGUCGGUAGACUACAAAAGGCAGGAAAUGCUAGCACCAAUUUCCAUAAAGUCAGAAAUUCGUAACGCGAGCAGAAGCAGUUGGAAAGCUGUGCCAUAGACGGUGAUAGCCCGGUACGCCAAGUGUUACGAACUUUAUCAUUUCUGGUUGUCGAGUAGGUCGGGACACGUGAAACCCUGACUGAAUCCGGGGGGUCCACCCCCCAAGGCUAAAUAUAUUGCAUGAUCGAUAGAGAACAAGUACCGUGAGGGAAAGGUUAAAAGAACCCCGGGAGGGGAGUGAAAUAGAACCUGAAAUUGUGUGCGUACAAGGAGUCGGAGCAGAUUUAUUCUGUGACGGCGUGCUUUUUGUAGAACGAUCCAACGAGUUAUUUGACAUGGCAAGCUUAAGUCAUAUGACGUAAGCCAAGCGAAAGCGAGUCUGAAUAGGGCAUAUAGUCAUGUUAAAUAGACCCGAAACCGGGUGACCUAACCAUGGGCAGGCUGAAGCGCAGGUAAAACUGCGUGGAGGGCCGAACCAGGGUCUGUUGCAACAGGCUUGGAUGACCUGUGGUUAGCGGUGAAAUGCCAAUCGAACCCGGAGAUAGCUGGUUCUCCUCGAAAUAGCUUUAGGGCUAGCGUUGUACGGUAGCAUAUGGGGGUAGAGCUCUGUUUUGGACUGGGGGUCGCAAGAUUACCCACCCUUGACAAACUACGAAUACCAUAUGUGGAACUACAGCAGUUAGAACGGCGGGGCUAAGCUCGUCGCUCAAAAGGAAAACAGUCCAGAUCACCAUCUAAGGUCCCUCAGUGUAUGCUCAGUGGGAAACGAGGUGGGGUUUCUUAAACAACUAGGAUGUUGGCUUAGAAGCAGCCAUUCAUUUAAAGAGUGCGUAACAGCUCACUAGUCAAGAGACCCUGCGCGGAAAAUGUAACGGGGCUAAGCAUACCACCGAAGAUGUGAGCUCGUGCUUUGCACGAGCGGUAGAGGAGCGUUCCUCUCUGCGUUGAAGUUGUACCGCGAGGUAUGGUGGAGCGUGAGGAAGUGAGAAUGUUGGAAUGAGUAACCAUAAGGCAGGUGAGAAUCCUGCCCGCCGAAAGAGCAAGGUUUCCUGGGCCACGGUAAUCGUCCCAGGGUUAGUCGGUCCUAAGCCGAGGCGCGUAGCGUAGGCGAUGGACAACAGGUUAAUAUUCCUGUACCGGCAUGUGUUUGUUACAUGUGCGCGGCAUAAUAGUUGGAGCGGAUUCAUGGUUAUAUCCGUCUAAGGAGGAGAAAUGCCUCCAAAUGAAACGACCAUCAGGUUGAAUUCCGGUGAAAGUGCUGACUAGAAAAGCAGUGUAACGCGUGGCGCAAGCCGUCCGUACCGCAAACCAACACAGGUGCUCAGGUCGAGAAGACCAAGGCGUACGAGUGAUUCUUCGUUAAGGAACUCGGCAAACAAGCGGCCGUAACUUCGGGAUAAGGCCUGCCUGGGCUUCUCACUCGCGUGAGAAGUAUUUGUCGUUUUUCAUUGAUCGUUGAUCAUUAGUUUUUCGUUUUACAUCUUUCAUUUAGUGCACGUGAGCACCAAAAUGAUUGCUGUUAUUCGGUCAACUAAUGUUCAAGAAAAAUGCUAAACGCUCAAUGCUCGUCGCGUAAGUGAGGAGCCUGGGUCGCAGCUAAAGAACCCAUGCAACUGUUUACCAAAAACACAGGUCUGUGCUAACACGAAAGUGGAUGUAUACGGGCUGACGCCUGCCCAGUGCUGGAAGGUUAAGGAGAGUUGUGUAUGCAGCGAACUGAAGCCCCAGUGAACGGCGGCGGUAACUAUAACCGUCCUAAGGUAGCGAAAUUCCUUGUCAGGUAAGUUCUGACCCGCACGAAUGGCGUAAUGAUAUGGGUACUGUCUCAACGAAGAGCUCGGUGAAAGUGCAUUGACGGUAAAGAUGCCGUCUGUCCGCAGCAGGACGAAAAGACCCCGUGCAGCUUUACUACAGCUUGGCAUUGAGCCGGGUUAUAACAUGUGUAGGAUAGGUGGGAGGCUUUGAAGCUAAGACGCUAGUCUUGGUGGAGCCGCCGGUGAAAUACCACCCUUGUUAUGAUCUUGUUCUUACGGGGCCCUCAAAUUGCAGAGCAAUAAGAGGGCAUUGAUCAUGAGACAUUGAUCAUUGAGCACUAAUUUUUCAUUGUACGUUUGUCAUUGACGUACGGGCAAAAGCCCCGCAUGACACACGGCACCUGAUAAAUAAAUGCUCAGUGAAGAUGACAUAUGAAAAAUGACCCUUGAAAUUGAUCUUCAAUUUCAGGGUCCCGGACCGUGUCUGGUGGGUAGUUUAACUGGGGCGGUUGCCUCCUAAAGAGUAUCGGAGGCGUUCAAAGGUUGGCUAACUACGGAUGGAAAUCGUAGUGAUAGUGUAUACGCAGAAGCCAGCUUGACUGUGAGGCCUACAAGCCGAGCAGGGACGAAAGUCGGAGUAAGUUUUCCGCUGUCAGUACAUUUGUACAAGAGUGUGGUAUCGGCAGCGCUUUCGGAUAAAAGUUACGCCGGGGAUAACAGGCUUAUAGCGCCCAAUAGUUCACAUAGACGGCGCUGUUUGGCACCUCGAUGUCGGCUCAUCUCAUCCUGGGGCUGGAGCAGGUCCCAAGGGUCCGGCUGUUCGCCGGUUAAAGAGGUACGUGAGCUGGGUUCAGAACGUCGUGAGACAGUUCGGUUUAUAUCCGCUGUGGACGGCUGAGUAGCUAUCGUGCGGAAUAGAUAAGCGCUGAAAGCAUAUUAAGCGCGAAACUAGCCUCAAGAUAAGAUUUCCCUAUGAGGACCGUGAAAGACGAUCACGUUGAUAGGCGCAAGGUGUACGCAUAGUAAUGUGUUUAGCCGAAGCGUACUAAUCGUCCCAUUGACUUUUU
rnacentral:rRNA from 1 species